CGAGGGGUCCAAGCGUUGUUCGGAAUCAUUGGGCGUAAAGCGGGUGUAGGCGGCUCUAUAAGUCAGGAGUGAAAGCCCCGAGCUUAACUCGGGAAGUGCUUUUGAUACUGUAGAGCUUGAGUGUGGGAGAGGAUCGUGGAAUUCCAGGUGUAGUGGUGAAAUACGUAGAUAUCUGGAGGAACACCGGUGGCGAAGGCGGCGAUCUGGCCCAACACUGACACUGAGACCCGAAAGCAUGGGGAUCAAACAGGAUUAGAUACCCUGGUAGUCCAUGCCAUAAACGAUGAUCACUUGGUGUUGGAGGUAUUGACCCCUUCAGUGCCGAAGCUAACGCGUUAAGUGAUCCGCCUGGGGAGUACGGUCGCAAGAUUA
rnacentral:rRNA from 1 species